ACGAUGAAUAUUAUUGAAUCAGAACAAGUAGUUGCUCGUUAUACGCAAGAACAUGCAUUGUCUUUAUGCAAUUAAGGACAGACAAUGUCGUCGACUUAAGAAGAAAUAAUCAUACGAGUCAAUAACAUAAUUAAGUAAAAUGAAAACUGAGGAAUACAACUAGUUUAACCAGGAAAGUCAAACAAAACGAAGGAAAAAGAGUCCUAUGAAACCAAAGGCAAAUUCGAGCAUUUUAGUCCGAAAAUUUUUGAGGUCUUGUACAACUGGCGGCUUCUCACUUCAAAUUUGAGGGGUAAUCCGAUGGAUUUGUACCAACUUAUUCUUGCGUACUAGCUUCUCAUUUUCAGCAACUCUAUUAGAAUCAGAGCUAAUUUCCGAUACAAAUUUCACAAGUUAACCUUCUUGCGGUGCCUGUGUAUCAUUAGCGAGUAACCUAGCACGAAGUAAAAAAAACAGUAGGAUACAUAAUCAUACAAUAUUUAACAAACAAAUUUGGGUUUCAGAUUUACUUGGUAUUAGGAAAUAGUUUAAAUAUAUAUAUAUAUAUAUAUGUAUAUGUAUGGAUUAAUAAUACCUUUUAGCUACUGACAAAAUGGCUA
rnacentral:lncRNA from 1 species